AUGCAAGUCGAACGAAGUUAUUUGAGCUUGCUUAGAUAACUUAGUGGCGGACGGGUGAGUAACACGUGAGCAAUCUGCCUUUCAGAGGGGGAUACCGAUUGGAAACGAUCGUUAAUACCGCAUAACAUAGUAAAUUCGCAUGUUUUUACUAUCAAAGAUUUAUCGCUGAAAGAUGAGCUCGCGUCUGAUUAGGUAGUUGGUGAGGUAACGGCCCACCAAGCCGACGAUCAGUAGCCGGACUGAGAGGUUGAACGGCCACAUUGGGACUGAGACACGGCCCAGACUCCUACGGGAGGCAGCAGUGGGGAAUAUUGCACAAUGGAGGAAACUCUGAUGCAGCGAUGCCGCGUGAGGGAAGAGGGUUUUCGGAUUGUAAACCUCUGUGUACAGGGACGAUAAUGACGGUACCUGUUCAGAAAGCUCCGGCUAACUACGUGCCAGCAGCCGCGGUAAUACGUAGGGAGCGAGCGUUGUCCGGAAUUACUGGGUGUAAAGGGAGUGUAGGCGGGACGGCAAGUCAGAUGUGAAAUUUAGGGGCUCAACCCCUGACCUGCAUUUGAAACUGCUGUUCUUGAGUGAAGUAGAGGUAAGCGGAAUUCCUAGUGUAGCGGUGAAAUGCGUAGAUAUUAGGAGGAACACCAGUGGCGAAGGCGGAUUGCUGGACAGCAACUGACGGUGAGGCGCGAAAGUGUGGGGAGCAAACAGGAUUAGAUACCCUGGUAGUCCACACUGUAAACGAUGAAUACUAGGUGUGCGGGGACUGACCCCUGCGUGCCGCAGUUAACACAAUAAGUAUUCCACCUGGGGAGUACGAUCGCAAGGUUGAAACUCAAAGG
rnacentral:rRNA from 1 species